GAGAGAGGCCAGGAGCAAUAAGGACUGCUAACCCCUAUCCCCGUGGUUAAAAUCCACGGCUCACUCG
rnacentral:tRNA from 1 species